UUGGAGGGCAAGUCUGGUGCCAGCAGCCGCGGUAAUUCCAGCUCCAAUAGCGUAUACUAAAGUUGUUGCAGUUAAAAAGCUCGUAGUUGAAUUUCGGGUUAGUAAGUUGGUCAUGCCUCCGGUAUGUACUGGCUUUACUGAAUCCUCCUUCUUGAUGAACUGUAAUGUCAUUAAUUUGGUGUUGCAGGGAAUCAGGACUGUUACUUUGAAAAAAUUAGAGUGUUUAAAGCAGGCAUACGCUUGAAUACAUUAGCAUGGAAUAAUGAAAUAGGACGUUUGAUCCUAUUUUGUUGGUUUCUAGGAUUGACGUAAUGAUUAAUAGGGAUAGUUGGGGGCAUUAGUAUUCAAUUGUCAGAGGUGAAAUUCUUGGAUUUAUUGAAGACUAACUACUGCGAAAGCAUUUGCCAAGGAUGUUUUCAUUAAUCAAGAACGAAAGUUAGGGGAUCGAAGACGAUCAGAUACCGUCGUAGUCUUAACCAUAAACUAUGCCGACUAGGGAUCGGAUGAUGUUAUUUUUAAUGAAUCAUUCGGCACCUUACGGGAAAC
rnacentral:rRNA from 1 species